rnacentral:rRNA from 1 species
CCGGCAACGGCACUCUAUUGCUGAGAAGCUGAUCAAACUUGGUCAUUUAGAGGAAGUAAAAGUCGUAACAAGGUUUCCGUAGGUGAACCUGCGGAAGGAUCAUUAAUGAAUGAAUUUAGAGUUGGUUGUUGCUGGCCCCCCUGGGGGCAUGUGCACACCUUUCUCUUUCAUCCACACACACCUGUGCACUUGUGAGACAGGGAGGGGGCCUUGAUUGGCUUUUUUUCCCUGUCUACUUAAUUACACAAACUCAUUUAUUUUAAACUGAAUGUAAUUGAUGUAACACAUCAUUUAAUACUAAGUUUCAACAACGGAUCUCUUGGCUCUCGCAUCGAUGAAGAACGCAGCGAAAUGCGAUAAGUAAUGUGAAUUGCAGAAUUCAGUGAAUCAUCGAAUCUUUGAACGCACCUUGCGCUCCUUGGUAUUCCUUGGAGCAUGCCUGUUUGAGUAUCAUGAAAUUAUCAAAGUAAAUCUUUUGUUAAUUCAAUUGGUUUUGCUUUGGAUUUGGAGGUCUUUGCGGAUUAAACAUCUGCUCCUUUUUAAAUUGAUUAGCUGGAUCUCAGUAUAUGCUUGGUUCCACUCGGCGUGAUAAGUUAUCACUCGCUGAGGACACUGUAAAAAGUGGCCAGGAAAUACAGAUGAACCGCUUCUAAUAGUCUAUUAACUUAGACAAUUAAUUUUAAGAUCUGAUCUCAAAUCAAGUUAGGACUACCCGCUUGAACUUAAGCAUAUCAAUAAGCGGAGGGAAAAGAAACUAACCAAGGAUUCCCCUUAGUAACGGCGAAGUGAAGCGGGAAGAGCUCAAAUUUAAAAUCUGGCAGUGUAUUCUGUCCGAGUUGUAGUCUAGAGAAGCAUCAUCCGUGCCGGACCAUGUAUAAGUCUCUUGGAACAGAGCG